rnacentral:tRNA from 1 species
UAGGGGCAUAGUUAAACGGUUUAACGACGGUCUCCAAAACCGCUAAAGAGGGUUCGACUCCUUCUGCCCCUGU